AUUGAACGCUGGCGGCAGGCCUAACACAUGCAAGUCGAGCGAGCGGCGGACGGGUGAGUAAUGUAUGGGGUUCUGCCCGAUGGAGGGGGAUAACUACUGGAAACGGUUGCUACUACCGCAUACUAUCGGAUGCACCAAUAUGGGAUUUGCUAGUUGGUGGGGUAACGGCUCACCUAGUCGACGAUCUCUAGCUGGUCUGAGAGGAUGAUGAGCCACACUGGGACGGAGACACGGUCCAGAAUCCUACGGGAGGCAGGAGUGGGGAAUAUUGCAGAAUGGGCGCAAGCCAGAUGCAGCCAUUGCGCGUGUAUGAAGAAGGCCUUAGGGUUGUAAAGUACGUUCAGCGGGGAGGCGUUACCCGCAGAAGAAGCACCGGCUAACUCCGUGCCAGCAGCCGCGGUAAUUC
rnacentral:rRNA from 1 species